UGAAUUGACAAAUAUAUAAUGCCAGGGUUUAAAUACUUGUGAUUCACUGUGUAAUUCAUAUUCUGUUCUUUCUUUUGCUGAACUUCAUUAUGGCACUAGAUGCUUUACAGAAAAGGGGAAGGAAAGGCAAGCUUUCAGGUAGUAUUCACCUGCAAUGCCAACAUUUUUUUUAAAAAGAUUUAUUUAUUCAUGAGAGACACACACAGGCAGAGGGAGAAGCAGGCUCCAUGCAGGGAGCCCGACGUGGGACUCGAUUCUGGGACUCCAGGAUCAUGCCCUAGGCUGAAGGCAGGCAAUAAAUCGCUGAGCCACCCAGGGAUCCCGCCAACACGUCUUAUUAUUACUUCCUUAGAGGCCAGGCCAGAGGGGAAUGAAUUUGAAAGAAGCUGAAACUGUUACGUUAGAAGCCACCUUCUCUUUCCUUCCCACUGCAUACACUUCCUUUUACUUCCUACCAAUUAGGGAUUGAAAUUCAUCUAACAUUUAUUGUUAGGUGUCAGACUGUAAGUUCACUAAAAUUUUCACUUCUAUUAUUUCAUUUCUACAAGACUGGGAAGAAGCAUUUUCUAUUUUAAUAUGGAGAAAAUACAUCAAAUAAGAGGCAGGGCUACCAAGACCCUAAAACCCCAGAUUCAGUGCUCUUUUUACUGCAUCUGGGCAUUAGGGCUCACUCUAAGAUGAAAACUCCUAUUAAGGAUGAAGCCUCAUUCAUACUGAAUACAGAUUGCUGUCAUCAGAGAAAAGAAAUAACCCUGAAGCAUAGGGAACAUAGUCAAUAAUAUUGAAAUAACUGUGGUGGCAGUGACUACACUUACUGUGGUGCACAUUGCAUAAUGUAUAGAAUUGACAAACAUCUCUAUUGUACAUCUGAAACGAAUAUAAUAAUGUUGUACAUCGACAAAAAAAAUUAGAAAAGGACAGUACCUCAUGUUAAAAAGCUGCUGGAACUGGAAAGUUUAGGAGUUGUAGUAUAAAGGAACAGGUCUUGGGUUGAAGGACUUUAAAUUCCUGGGCCAGCUUGCAAAAGUGGCUAGCAAUCAAUCAAGAAGGGGGAAGUGGGCACUGAAGAGUGUGUCUGCACUUCCGCCGAGUUUGGCAGGCAGAGCUUGCUAGUGCUGGAGGAAGGAAUGAAGCAUUAGCUCAGUGUUCUAAACCCAGCCUGCCCUUUUCUCCUCAAUCUAGUUUCUUUUCAUGCAAACUUUGUCCCUGCUCCUGCCUCUGACAAGAAAACAGAAGAGUACAAAAACGAGGAAAUAAAAUAUAUCUGUAUCCUUUCUUCCUAGCCCUGGCCCCAUGCCUGUUUUUGAUUUUGGCAGUCUUGAGCUUAAGAUAUGUAGGAUUUUCCUGUUCAUGGUAACAUCUAAAGAAUCAAAAAUGUAAGAUUCUAGGAGCACCCAGGUGGCUCAGUUGGUUAAGCGACCAACUCUUGAUUUUGGCUCAGGUCAUGAUCUCUGGGUAAUGAGAUCCAGCCCCAUGCCAGGCUCUGCGCUGGGCUUUCAGCCCUGAGAUUUUCUCUCUCCCCCUCCCUGUUUGCUCGCUUGCUUGCUCUCUCAAAAAUUCUUAAUUUGAAAACCUAAAGUUUCUUAAAUCUAAACAUUCUAAGAUAUAGGUCACUGGAAUAAUAUUCUCUUGGUUACCUGUAUGACCUCAGGUCAGAAUGAACUUAUUCCCUCAGGAGGGCUCACCUGAUUCUCUAGAAACCAGAAGUCUCUGCCUUUUUAGAACAAAUAUUCCAGACUAUGUAUAGAAAUGCUUCCUUCACAAGUCAUCUUCGGUUGGAUUUUGAAAUCACAAGUUGCCAAGACAAAGAGCGUGCUGGGAUAUAGUCACAAAUGAAUUGUGUGGGGUUAAAGCCAAUAAGGCAUCUCAGAACACUGACUCUUGAUUUGAAAAGUGCAUUUAGAACAGGUAGAUUCUAAAUUCAGGUUGGGAUCCAUGCAGGUGCCUCAAAUUCUUUGUAUUUUAUCAUGUAGUGACUCCACUAUAUGUAGUUACUCCACUAUAGUAACUAACUAUAACCUUUUAUGAGGCUAAUCGUCAGAAGUUCUCCAAAAUGAUUUUAAUCAAAGAUAGUGAUACUAUAUUUAUAAAAGGAAUAAGACUUAGGGACUCAACUACCAUCUUGAAAGAACUUAGUAACUUUGAAAAUAAGCAGUUUUAAACUUUUGGUAAACAUUUUCAUAAAUUACUGUUUGAGAAGGGCAAUCAGAUCCUUUGGUUAGGAGGAUGGGGUCUUCACUGAAGCCAGGCUGUAGGCUAGGCCUUCGGUGAGUCUGUAUCUCUGCCCCACCAAGCCUAUUGCUAGCUGCAGGCAUUUCGGAUGGAACCAGGGGACAGAAUGUUGCUGGAACAAUGCACAUGCUUCAUCUCACCACCGCAGAAAAAGACGUCAAGGUGUCAUCUUCAUGUAUAAACGUGUAUCAUCAUUGCUCUGGUCCUGGAUGAGGUAAUAUACUUUCAUAUUUUCUGGAAGGAAACACUUUAUUCUGAUCUUAAACUCUAAAGUCUCCUCUUUUUAAGUGUGUGAUAUCUGUAGUAAUUAUGAAGUUGUGUGUGUGCAUGUAAUGUGGUAAAUCUUCAUAAACAGUAUGGUAUUCUGUAAAACUGUCACUUAGAUUGUCUGAUUCUUGUCAAACAUAAGGAACCUGUGAAAUAAUUUCUAGCUAAACUAUUGGAUAUGAAACUAAGAACGACAGAGAGGACUCCCUGACUUUGGUUUUAUUUCCUGGAUAAAAGGAAUAACUUCCCUCACAAAGUAGUUUUGAGGAUAAAAGAAUACAAAAAUAUGCUUCAUAAAUUCUAAAACGUAAUAGAAAUGUUACCACUUUUAUGUUUCACUGAAAAUAGCUCUAAUGGUUGACAAUGUGAAGUGUUGGGACUUGGGAAGAUAAUGGAAAGUUAAAUUGUUCUCCUUAAAACAUUCUAAAAGCAAGUAGCGCAGUAAGAAAGGGUACUUAAUAGAAGUUUAAAAAAAAAAAAAAAACUUUUUGUGUCUUCUAACCAUGAAGUGCCCUGACAGUAAUCAAAUAGAAUUGAAACAUCACCUGAUUAACCUGAUAGAUUUCUUUUUAAAAACAUGUCUUUUUCUCGAUCUACUGUCAGUAAUCAAUAAAGUCAGAGCCGCACAAACAAUUCUGUGUGGACAGUGUGCCACCCUCUGAGGCUCUGGGGUACAAAGUGAACAAGGCAUGACAUUCCUGCCUUCGUGGAACUUAUAUUCAGAAAAUAGAAAUCUGUAAACUCAUCAUAUAUAUUUUUUCCAUCAUAUAAUUUUUAAGCAUCAAGGCAACAUGUCACAAAUUUCCUACUUCUGUAUAGCUCUUUGUCACUUAAAAAGGUUUAAUUUACCAUCCUGCAUUUGUUCUUUACAACAAUGUUGGGCAGUUAAGGAGAAGAACUCAGGGAGCCAUUCGCUUAAUAAACAUUGGAACUGGAUUUCAGAUCAAACCCACUGUUCUUACUCCCAGGUCAUGUUUCUCUCUCACAGGACCAUGUGGCUCAGCUGAAUAACCACAAAGUAAGGACACAGUGGAUAUCUACAUUUAUUUGAUGAAUUAAGGCAUGUUCUUACUAGUUGUUUUUCAUAUGGAAUCAACAGUUACCUUUAAGAGGAGAUUUUAAACUCUAGCUACCCUUAGCAAAGAUAAACUAAUUCCUGUUGAACAUCUAUGAAGACUAAACGUAAAAUAAAUGCCAUAAUCUCAGUUCUAAAAACAGAACUAUAUUGUAUGAUGGCUUUUAUGUAAGUUCUUAUUAACAGUUUUCUGUCCAAGACUGAAAUACUUUAGACUCACACUAUAGUGUGCAAGAGGUGCAUGUGAGGAGCCUGGGAAAAUGCAGGUUCUUGGGUUCCAGUGGAACCCAUGAAUCUGUGUCCUAGGUGGCACCCUGAUAGUUCUAUGAUUGUUGCUCCAUGGAAUAUACUUUGAAAAAGGACCCUGGAACACAGCACCAUAUCAA
rnacentral:lncRNA from 1 species